rnacentral:lncRNA from 1 species
AUAAAUACAUCCAUAUCCAUUGCCAUAGAGAGAUUUCCUUCAUUUUACAAAACACUUAUACACUUAAAUAGAGAGCAAAAACUGAAAAUAAGAAGGAAAGGAGAAGGAAGUAAACCUAGCACUUCCAAUUUAUAUUUCAAUCGAAGAUCUUCAAGUUUUACGGUAAGAUACUUUCUAUGCUUAAGGGGUAUGAUCUUCAUGGUAAUAUUUAUGCUUAAACUAUGCAUGAAAAACCAUAAUAUGAUUAUGGUGGACAAGUCCACAAAGUUAGAUAUCUAUUUAUGCCUUAGGACAAGUCCGAAGGGCACCGGCAAACCGGAAUGUGCAAGUAUGGGUUUGAUUGUAUUCUUUUGUGUGGUAUUAUCAUGAUAAAAAUCCAAGCAUGG